AUGACGGAUCGUCGGCCCCGCGCCGGCGACUCGCCGAAUGAGUUUCUGACCUAUCAACUCGAGACGGCGGGGUAGAGGCCCGCCGCGGUAACGACGGGUAACGGGGAAUCAGGGUUCGAUUCCGGAGAGGGAGCCCGAGAAACGGCUACCACUUCCAAGGAAGGCAGCAGGCGCGCAACUUACCCUAAUCUCGAUUCGAGGAGGUAGUGACAAGAAAUACCGAUGCGGGACCCUACGGGUGCCGCGUUCGGAAUGAGUACGAUUCGAACCACCUAACGAGGAACGAUCGGAGGGCAAGUCUGGUGCCAGCAGCCGCGGUAAUUCCAGCUCCAAUAGCGUACGUUAAAGUUGCUGCAGUUAAAAAGCUCGUAGUUGAACGUUCGGGUUCCGCGGGACGGGGCCGCCCCGCGAGGGACGGCGCCGCCCCGGGGCUCGUGAUAUCUCAUCUCGCCGCCCGUCGCCGAGGCGGACGGAGGGA
rnacentral:rRNA from 1 species